UUCCUCUGAGCGCAGGGUGGGGAACACGCCUCCUCCUCCGUCUCUCUCCCCUUCGCCCUUUCUUCCUGGCUCUGGCAGGAAAGGCAGGGGAGCUGGUGUCUGCGGGGAAGGGGGCGCGAAGGGACAGACCCCGCUCGUUUGCCAGCCCUCUACCAAGGUCUGAAGGUGCCUUCUCAAGCCAGGCCACCCUAUGGAUUGUGGUGCGCAUGCGCUGCACUUGUUUAUAUGCGGGUUUUGAGGAGUAGCUCAUUGUGAAGGUGAGAAUGCAGAAGUGUCCUGAGCAACAUCACUUGUGCCUGGUCUAGCGCCAGCAGAACGUCUGCUGGGACGACAACAGACGAUUCCAUUACUACUGGGGCCAAUACUGCUGGACCCUAACGUGGUCUGAACAACAACUCAGGCACAACACAACUUCAGUGUGUGGCAGCGCACAGAACUCAAUGUGGCUCAGAAGCUCUCAGGCCUUCGGCAGAAGUUCUAAGGUCUUGCCAAGUGGUGACGCCAGACGACCUUCUCCACAGGAGCAGCGCUCCUCUGCGGUAUUGCUCAACACAACAAGGCGAGGAUCCGGGCCGGUCCCGUCUACAAGGAACUCCGCAAGCAAACACGGCAGACGCGAGCAUGUGGGCUGGUAGACUCCUCAGCUCCCCCCGCAAAGAACUCACCUUGAAACUACCGCUCCAUGCGAUUGAUAAGGGGAGGGCAAAUAGCUGUGAGGCAUUAGCAAUGUAUUUUGAAUUGUAUAUUGUAACCUAAGAGCAUCCCAAAGCCGGGGGAAACGGGCUCCCUGCUAUUUGGUGCCGUUAUUCAGGAUGGGUCAGGAUUUACUGCCGGGGUGUCCUCACAGGGCCGACCAGUUCAGUGCCUCAAUGUCGUAAACUGUAUCGGAGACGGAAUACAGGAGGUAUCACUGGAAAACUGGCAACAGACUGAGCGUUAUUCUUGCGCGCCAUGCGUACGGUAAAAUCCCACGGGGCCAUCUGCAUGGGGAGGAAACGUGGGAUUAAAAUGUG